AGAAAGGAUGAAAUAGCAUAUUUACAACAACAUGGAUGGGCCUUGAAAACAUUAUGCUAGGUGAAUAAGUCAGACAGAAAAAGCUAAGAACUAUAUGAUUUCACUCAUAUGUUGAAUAUAAAACUGAAUCUUAUGAACACAAACAGUAGUGUGGCGGUUGCCAGAGGGAGGGG